GACAACUGUAGAAAUCCCAAGGUCCAGUUGGGAGAGUGUGUAAGGAGACAGUAUUCACCAUACAUCCCAAAGUGGUACUCUCGAACUAGAUGACUGCUCACCGAGUUUUCUUAUUGGUACAGAUCCUGGAUCUCUCAGGCAUGAGACUAGAGUGAAAGAGGAUAAAAUGUCUUCCUACCUUCUCUCUGGGUUGUUCCGUUGGAUGAACCCACGCAUGGGGUCGCUAAAGAAGCCAGAGUGGAGGCUGCAGGGAAUAUGGAUUUAAAUGAAUUUUGGCUGUACCAUCAAGCAGUCUGAUCACUGAGGAAAUAUCAAAAGCUUCACCCGAGUGACUCAUCACCCAAAUUCAACAGAGACUUGCCAAAGAAGCUGCUUAUUUCACAGAAGGACGGUGCUGGCUGAAAGAUGCUUCCUUGAAACUGAGAGACUGCUGCCUUAGACAGGUCUCCUUGAAGAGCACAAGAAUUACUUUCAGAUCAUCAGUGACUUAAUUGAACAAAUGACAAAGAUCUUGCCAAAAUCUGAGAAGAUGUCCUCUGACCUUCCUCACCAGGAGUGAAUAUAUGUCAAUUCGUAUAUCCAAAUCUAUGAAAAGGAACAUGAAAUGGGAUCAACUAAAUUAUAUUGAAGACAUAUACAGAUACAUUAAGCUUUGGAAAACAUCUGGACUUUGGAAUACUGGUCCACACGUCUUUCAGAGAGUCUUU